GGUUGAAACAAUAUGACGGCGAGAAUGGAAAUGAGUAUGUGUAUUGACCCUCUAUUAGAUUAUCUUUCAUUUCACCUCCCCCCGUUUCUUUUCUUUUCAUAGUGUCGAAUGUUAGAACUCAUUGAAAAGUCAACUCAAUUAUUUGGAGCCCUUAAGACAUCUGACUACACAAUAAGAAACAUCCAACAAGGAAAAGAAGCUUCUCCAGAUCGAACGCUACCGUAACCCAAUAGCUGAAAACAGAUACAUGAAAGGAAGCCGACUGCCGC
ensembl:ncRNA F45B8.20 ncRNA